CCUACGGGUGGCAGCAGUGGGGAAUAUUGCACAAUGGGCGAAAGCCUGAUGCAGCAACGCCGCGUGAAGGAAGACGGUUUUCGGAUUUGAAACUUCUAUCAAUAGGGGAGAAAGGAAUGACGGUACUUAAAUAAGAAGCACCAGCUAACUACGGGCCAGCAGCCGCGGGAAUACGUAGGGGGCAAGCGUUAUCCGGAAUUACUGGGUGUAAAGGGAGAGUAGGCGGCAAGGUAAGCGAUAUGUGAAAGCCUUAAGCUUAACCAAAGGAUUGCAUAAAGAACUAUCUAGCUAGAGUACAGGAGAGGAAAGCGGAAUUCCUGGUGUAGCGGUGAAAUGCGUAGAUAUUAGGAAGAACACCGGUGGCGAAGGCGGCUUUCUGGACUGAAACUGACGCUGAGGCUCGAAAGCGUGGGGAGCGAACAGGAUUAGAUACCCCAGUAGUC
rnacentral:rRNA from 1 species